AAUAAUAACAAAAGGGCAGAGAGCAGCGGUUGGCUACGGGGUUACGGUGGUUUCUGAUUGGGAACGUUCUGAAGCUUUGAGAAAAGGGAAGGAAAAAUCUUGAGGAUUUGUGGCACGUGUUCGGCAUUCAAGAUUCGAUUCCGAGUACGAGCACAUCUCGUGGAGCUUUGUGAGUCCGAGCUUGGAGUAUCUUGGAGUUGUGGUGAGCUGCUUGACUGUUCCGUGGCCCACACCUCCUUCUACCUUUUAUUUAUUCUGUUAUUUUAGUAUUCAAACAGAAUAUCCCUUAUGUUUGGAUUUGUCAUUUAGUUUCAGACUUGCAUCAUAUUUAGAGGCUCUUGUACUUAUGACACAAAUUUCUUGGGUAGUAUUUUA